CACCCAUGUCGAGGACAUAUCCACAAGAGCUCCUUGAACCUAUCCCUUCUCUCAGAAAAAGGCUCCAAUUCCAUUUGCACAAAAGAAGAUAUCUCAUUCCUAAGCUU